AUCCAGCUGACGGGUCUCAAAUAGGGUGAAACUAGAAUCCUGGAU
rfam:Schistosoma margrebowiei strain Zambia genome assembly, scaffold: SMRZ_contig0004084